rnacentral:rRNA from 1 species
GACGAACGCUGGCGGCGUGCUUAACACAUGCCAGUCGAACGGAAAGGCCCUGCUUGCAGGGUACUCGAGUGGCGAACGGGUGAGUAACACGUGGGUGAUCUGCCCUGCACUUCGGGAUAAGCCUGGGAAACUGGGUCUAAUACCGGAUAGGAGCCAUUUUUAGUGUGAUGGUUGGAAAGUUUUUUCGGUGUAGGAUGAGCUCGCGGCCUAUCAGCUUGUUGGUGGGGUAAUGGCCUACCAAGGCGGCGACGGGUAGCCGGCCUGAGAGGGUGGACAGCCAGAUUGGGACUGAGAUUCGGCCCAGACUCCUACGGGAGGGAGCAGUGGGGAAUCUUGAACAAUGGGCGCAAGCCUGAUGCAGCGACGCCGCGUGGGGGAUGACGGCCUUUGGGUUGGAAACUCCUUUCGCUAGGGACGAAGCUUUUUGUGACGGUACCUAGAUAAGAAGCACCGGCUAACUACGUG